AAUCCUGUAGUCGAAAAUGUUGUCUCUCUUGAGUGGAUCCUGAGUACGACGGAGCACGUGAAAUUCCGUCGGAAUCUGGGAGGACCAUCUCCUAAGGCUAAAUACUCUCUAGUGACCGAUAGUGAACCAGUACCGUGAGGGAAAGGUGAAAAGCACCCCGGAAGGGGAGUGAAAUAGAACCUGAAACCGUGUGCUUACAAGUAGUCAGAGCCCGUUAAUGGGUGAUGGCGUGCCUUUUGUAGAAUGAACCGGCGAGUUACGAUUUGAUGCAAGGUUAAGCAGUAAAUGUGGAGCCGUAGCGAAAGCGAGUCUGAAUAGGGCGUUUAGUAUUUGGUCGUAGACCCGAAACCAGGUGAUCUACCCUUGGUCAGGUUGAAGUUCAGGUAACACUGAAUGGAGGACCGAACCGACUUACGUUGAAAAGUGAGCGGAUGAACUGAGGGUAGCGGAGAAAUUCCAAUCGAACCUGGAGAUAGCUGGUUCUCUCCGAAAUAGCUUUAGGGCUAGCCUCAAGUGAUGAUUAUUGGAGGUAGAGCACUGUUUGGACGAGGGGCCCCUCUCGGGUUACCGAAUUCAGACAAACUCCGAAUGCCAAUUAAUUUAACUUGGGAGUCAGAACAUGGGUGAUAAGGUCCGUGUUCGAAAGGGAAACAGCCCAGACCACCAGCUAAGGUCCCAAAAUAUAUGUUAAGUGGAAAAGGAUGUGGCGUUGCCCAGACAACUAGGAUGUUGGCUUAGAAGCAGCCAUCAUUUAAAGAGUGCGUAAUAGCUCACUAGUCGAGUGACACUGCGCCGAAAAUGUACCGGGGCUAAACAUAUUACCGAAGCUGUGGAUUGUCCUUUGGACAAUGGUAGGAGAGCGUUCUAAGGGCGUUGAAGCAUGAUCGUAAGGACAUGUGGAGCGCUUAGAAGUGAGAAUGCCGGUGUGAGUAGCGAAAGACGGGUGAGAAUCCCGUCCACCGAUUGACUAAGGUUUCCAGAGGAAGGCUCGUCCGCUCUGGGUUAGUCGGGUCCUAAGCUGAGGCCGACAGGCGUAGGCGAUGGAUAACAGGUUGAUAUUCCUGUACCACCUAUAAUCGUUUUAAUCGAUGGGGGGACGCAGUAGGAUAGGCGAAGCGUGCGAUUGGAUUGCACGUCUAAGCAGUAAGGCUGAGUAUUAGGCAAAUCCGGUACUCGUUAAGGCUGAGCUGUGAUGGGGAGAAGACAUUGUGUCUUCGAGUCGUUGAUUUCACACUGCCGAGAAAAGCCUCUAGAUAGAAAAUAGGUGCCCGUACCGCAAACCGACACAGGUAGUCAAGAUGAGAAUUCUAAGGUGAGCGAGCGAACUCUCGUUAAGGAACUCGGCAAAAUGACCCCGUAACUUCGGGAGAAGGGGUGCUCUUUAGGGUUAACGCCCAGAAGAGCCGCAGUGAAUAGGCCCAAGCGACUGUUUAUCAAAAACACAGGUCUCUGCUAAACCGUAAGGUGAUGUAUAGGGGCUGACGCCUGCCCGGUGCUGGAAGGUUAAGAGGAGUGGUUAGCUUCUGCGAAGCUACGAAUCGAAGCCCCAGUAAACGGCGGCCGUAACUAUAACGGUCCUAAGGUAGCGAAAUUCCUUGUCGGGUAAGUUCCGACCCGCACGAAAGGCGUAACGAUUUGGGCACUGUCUCAACGAGAGACUCGGUGAAAUCAUAGUACCUGUGAAGAUGCAGGUUACCCGCGACAGGACGGAAAGACCCCGUGGAGCUUUACUGUAGCCUGAUAUUGAAAUUCGGCACAGCUUGUACAGGAUAGGUAGGAGCCUUUGAAACGUGAGCGCUAGCUUACGUGGAGGCGCUGGUGGGAUACUACCCUAGCUGUGUUGGCUUUCUAACCCGCACCACUUAUCGUGGUGGGAGACAGUGUCAGGCGGGCAGUUUGACUGGGGCGGUCGCCUCCUAAAAGGUAACGGAGGCGCUCAAAGGUUCCCUCAGAAUGGUUGGAAAUCAUUCAUAGAGUGUAAAGGCAUAAGGGAGCUUGACUGCGAGACCUACAAGUCGAGCAGGGUCGAAAGACGGACUUAGUGAUCCGGUG
rnacentral:rRNA from 1 species